CCGAUCGCUCGGAGAUUAGCGUUAUCGGAUUAUUGGGUUUAAGGGUGCGUAGGCGGUUUCAUUUAGGAGAGGUGAAAUUUCGGGGCUCAACCCUGAACGUGCCUCUAAUACUGUUGAGCUAGAGAGUAGUUGCGGUAGGCGGAAUGUAUGGUGUAGCGGUGAAAUGCUUAGAGAUCAUACAGAACACCGAUUGCGAAGGCAGCUUACCAAACUAUAUCUGACGUUGAGGCACGAAAGCGUGGGGAGCAAACAGGAUUAGAUACCCUGGUAGUCCACGCAGUAAACGAUGAUAACUCGUUGUCGGCGAUACACAGUCGGUGACUAAGCGAAAGCGAUAAGUUAUCCACCUGGGGAGUACGUUCGCAAGAAUGAAACUCAAAGGAAUUGACGGGGGCCCGCACAAGCGGAGGAACAUGUGGUUUAAUUCGAUGAUACGCGAGGAACCUUACCCGGGCUUGAAAGUUAGCGACGAUUCUUGAAAGAGGAUUUCCCUUCGGGGCGCGAAACUAGGUGCUGCAUGGUUGUCGUCAGCUCGUGCCGUGAGGUGUCGGGUUAAGCCCCAUAACGAGCGCAACCCCUACCGUUAGUUGCCAUCAGGUGAAGCUGGGCACUCUGGCGGGACUGCCGGUGUAAGCCGAGAGGAAGGUGGGGAUGACGUCAAAUCAGCACGGCCCUUACGUCCGGGGCUACACACGUGUUACAAUGGUAGGUACAGAGGGCAGCUACCCAGCGAUGGGGUGCGAAUCUCGAAAGCCUAUCUCAGUUCGGAUUGGAGGCUGAAACCCGCCUCCAUGAAGUUGGAUUCGCUAGUAAUCGCGCAUCAGCCAUGGCGCGGUGAAUACGUUCCCGGGCCUUGUACACACCGCCCGUCAAGCCAUGGGAGCCGGGGGUGCCUGAAGUUCGUGACCGCAAGGAGCGACCUAGGGCAAAACUGGUGACUGGGGCUAAGUGGUAACAAGGUAGCCGUAAGGGCGAAUUCGUCCCUACAUGCGGGACUAG
rnacentral:rRNA from 1 species